GAUGAACGCUGGCGGCGUGCUUAACACAUGCAAGUCGAACGAGAAGUGGAGACGGAAACCUUCGGGCGGAAGACUUUAUUUCGAGUGGCGGACGGGUGAGUAACGCGUGGGUAACUUGCCUCAUACAGGGGGAUAACAGUUGGAAACGACUGUUAAUACCGCAUAAGACCACAGCACCGCAUGGUGCGGGGGUAAAAACUCCGGUGGUAUGAGAUGGACCCGCGUUCGAUUAGCCAGUUGGCGGGGUAACGGCCCACCAAAGCGACGAUCGAUAGCCGAUCUGAGAGGAUGACCGGCCACAUUGGGACUGAGACACGGCCCAAACUCCUACGGGAGGCAGCAGUGGGGAAUAUUGCACAAUGGGGGAAACCCUGAUGCAGCGACGCCGCGUGAGUGAAGAAGUAUUUCGGUAUGUAAAGCUCUAUCAGCAGGGAAGAAAAUGACGGUACCUGAGUAAGAAGCCCCGGCUAACUACGUG
rnacentral:rRNA from 1 species